UACGGGAGGCAGCAGCUGGGGGAUAUUGCACAACCCUUNGAAACCCUGAUGCAGCGACGCCGCGNUGAGUGAAGAAGNAUUUCGGUAUGUAAAGCUCUAUCAGCAGGGAAGAAAGGCCCGAAAGGGAGAUGACGGUACCUGACUAAGAAGCCCCGGCUAACUACGUGCCAGCAGCCGCGGUAAU
rnacentral:rRNA from 1 species